AUGAACAUCUAUGAAUAAUGAUUCGCUCGAUAUGGAUUGACGCAUUGCUAUCGGUGCUGGCAUCUUACAAAUGAACUUUUGCAUGAGAUGAGCAUGCCACCAUACAUUCAACACAGAUUUUGGGUUACUAAAGCCGCAAACAAACUCAGUUCAAACAAAGACACUACUGAAGCUGGGCACUACAAGUAAGUGAGCCAAUCAGGCGGUGGAUACAUAAUAAGCUAGUCUCUUGCAAGGCAUAAAAGCACUGCACGAGUAGCAGAAACGAUAUGAAAUCUUCAACAGGAAAAACAAGGUGGAUGCGACGGACAUCCAGUGUAUGCUUCUUGUUCUUCAGUAGCUCAACGACGCAUCGUAUUCUCUCGGGCUGCAAAUUGUUGUCGAAUGCAAACCGCUUUUUCCCUUUCAAAAGCUCUUGCAUUUGUUCUCCUUAACAUGACAUCAGUCACGCUUGCGAAUCCUUGCUAUUGGUAUAUUUCUCUGGAGAGGCCCUGGUUAUAGAGGGAAAGGGUGUUUACUGUUUAGAUACGACAACUCGAAAGAAAGUAGUAUUAAACUGAAACAAACUGAUGAAUAGAGGCUAUGUGUCAGCAAGACUCUCUUUUCUGUAUUCAGCUGAAAUACUAAAUGGGAGUGUGGAUUUUAACUCUCCAUGAUACAAAGAUUUUCAUGAAUACUUGUAUGUAAUAGAAUGAUUGAAACGCUCAAAGUCAACCUUUAUUUGCAGAACUACACUCACAUGUUUCUGAAGUUAUCUGACAAUGAAACAUGUAAACGCAGUUCAAGAACAGAAAUAUUACUGGGCAUAAACACCAGCAUGGAAUCUGAAUUCAUAUAUGAGAUGACAACUAGUAUUCGGUAUUCACCUAUCAGUUUGCACGUUAUGCAAGAAAGCAGAAAUUAAAUGUAGAUUUAAUAAGUAUGAUUUAUUAGUACAACCAAGACGUUAUAAGCUACUACCUAUCAUUAUUAAAUCAGAGUGAUAGACUUGUAAAUGCAUGAGAGGCAAGAUAGGAGCCAUCAUUACACAAACGGGCACUGAGAAAGCGACACCAAGUAUCACGUCAUAUUGAGACAAAAGAACCAAGCGCUGAGGUGCAAAUUUUAGUGAAAUUAGGGAAUCAGUAGGGCGUUGCAUUCCAACCCCACUUCUCUCUUCCAAAGGAAAAUCAGAGUCUCUAGUGCCUUUGGUCUUCUAGGGCACAUCUAGAUGUGCCCUGGUUAUUGGUGCACAUAUAAGUCACUCAAUCAAGCAGAAGAAGGAAAAGAAAAAGGAAAAAGAAAAUGUCCACACGAAUCUCCGUGUAAGAUCAGUGACUUAGGACUUAAAUGUGCAAUACUUAUGGCAUAUCUAGAUGUGCUUUAGCAAAACUGUUUUAAAUUUAGUGAAACUCGCAUCGUCUUGCCAUCUAUUCGGACAUAGCAGUGGACUGCAUUCCAUAACAGUUUUCAGUUUCCCAUUAGGCUAGACAUAUGUUUGGGAAUCGAAUGUAGUGUAUGUCUCAGCUUUUCAUGCCUCAGUCGAUGUAAUAGGCUGGUUCGGCUAGAGUGUUUCCCACGUGGGAAGACAGCGUCAGUUACAGUUGCAAGUUCAAGCAUAAUUACAGAUUGGGUCAUUACGAAUAUGAUGAUGGCAAAACAACAUUUUUUUUCGUGGCCUAAUUUAGCAGACAUAGUUAUUCCACCUAAAAUGGCACCAGAAUGAUAACUUAGUGAAGAUAAAAAUGGGGAAAAUACAUGUCAAAUCCAGCUUAACUGAAGGGAAAGUAGGCAAUACAUGUACAAGAAAAUAAAAGACUCAAGAGAAAGUAGGCAAUAC
rnacentral:lncRNA from 1 species